ACGAACGCUGGCGGCGUGCUUAACACAUGCCAGUCGAACGGAAAGGCCCUGCUUGCAGGGUACUCGAGUGGCGAACGGGUGAGUAACACGUGGGUGAUCUGCCCUGCACUUCGGGAUAAGCCUGGGAAACUGGGUCUAAUACCGGAUAGGAGCCAUUUUUAGUGUGAUGGUUGGAAAGUUUUUUCGGUGUAGGAUGAGCUCGCGGCCUAUCAGCUUGUUGGUGGGGUAAUGGCCUACCAAGGCGGCGACGGGUAGCCGGCCUGAGAGGGUGGACGGCCACAUUGGGACUGAGAUACGGCCCAGACUCCUACGGGAGGCAGCAGUGGGGAAUAUUGCACAAGGGGCGCAAGCCUGAUGCAGCGACGCCGCGGGGGGGAUGACGGCCUUCGGGUUGUAAACUCCUUUCGCUAGGGACGAAGCUUUUUGUGACGGUACCUAGAGAAGAAGCACCGGCUAACUACGUG
rnacentral:rRNA from 1 species